rnacentral:rRNA from 1 species
AGAGAUACUAAUUGGUGUUUUGGGGGGAUUCGUCCCUUCAUACAUCAGUUAAACUCCGAAUCCUACAAUUUCGUAGAAGCAGGGAAACGGGAUUGCACGGGGUAAGCUUGCAAUCCGUGAGGGGAACAACCCAGACUGUAGUUAAGGUCCCUAAAUGCCAACCAAGUGAUAAAGGGUAAAGGGUGUGAGUAUUCGAAGACAAAGAGGAGGUUUGCUUAGAAGCAGCAAUCCUUUAAAGAGUGCGUAACAGCUCACUCUUCGAGAGUAUUUGCCCCGAAGAUAAUCGGGUCUAAGUUGGCUACCGAUACUAUGGUUCAUGAGCAAGGCUCAUGUAAGGUAGACUGGUGCAGUGCGAGGGUAGAAGCAAGUCUUAAAGGAUUUGUGGACCUCGUAGUGAUAAGAAUCCUGGUGGUAGUAGGAAAAUAGCGGUGUGAGAGUCACCGCGGACGAAAGGGC